UCCAAAACAAAAUUCAUCUCUCUUUCUUCUUCUUUUAGUUUAUCUUUCUAAUAGCUAGUUUCUUCUGGAGCGAACAAGCUCUGCGAGUCUCUUAAGAUGGCCGCUGUUCUCGAGACUAUGAAGGCGAGCGAUGAUCCAUGUAUAUGUAUUGUGCAGGUCUGCUUCCCUAUCUUCCAUUGUCCAUGUACAUAUUCAUAUAUCUCCAUUGAGAUAACCCAGAUUGUGUUUGGUUUUACAAUUUCCGCAGACUUGUAUUAACGUCGUUUAUGGUAUGGAUUCUCUUUAUGAAGGCUUUGUUUGUUUAUGAAGCCUUUCUUCUUACUUUAUUUAUAUAAUAUUGUACUCUCUUUUUGUGGUGUUUGCUGGAAUGAGAGGGAUGACUGGAUUACUCUGGGAAACCUCAUUACUUGAUGCAGAUGAGGGUAUACGCUUUAGGGGCAUGUCGUUUCUUGAAUGCCAGAAAGUAUUACCUUCACCUCAAUCUAGAGUAGAGCCCUUGCCUUGCUGUGGCUUUUAUUAACCGGAAAGGUUCCAAGCAAAGAGCAAGUAGAGGCGUUGUCAAAAGAGUUGGCUCAUUUGUGCGGCUGUGCCAGGUUUGUAGUUCAUGUGUAUGCUCUGUUUUUUUUGUGACCUCUAGUUUCAUGACUCAUCAAAUCUUAGCAAAAUUAGUCGAUUGAAAAUAUAAACUGAAUACUAGUUGUCAUUGUUGCAAACAUAAUUCUACUUUGUACUUAAUUUUACACUGCAGAUUAUGUUUAUAAAGCUAUAGAUGCUCUGCCUUCGACGGCUAAUCCAAUGACUCCAUUUGCUAGAAGGUUCAAAGUGAGUUUCUGAAGACAUAUGAAAAGGGUGAUGUUCAUUAGUCAAAGUACGAACUUUACAUAUUUUCAGUUACUUCUUGAUUGCCUUGUAGUAGCAGGCAUCAUAAAAACUGAGUUUUUCCUCGCAAAUUCUGGGAGCCAACCUAUAAGGAUGCCAUAAAAUUGUUUGUUCGUGUCCCUGUUGUAGCUUCAUAUGUUUAUUGGAGGAUGUAAUGGUGACAUCAUUCCAUUGAUUCUUUGGAUUCUUUUACAAAUUUUUCACACAUUGCUGGGAUAUGAUAGUCCUCAGAUGAAAGAGCUCAUGAGACUUUAUGUCACCAUACGAACGAAAGAAAGCAUGAGGCCUUUCAUAACAAAUCCAAAUCUGGUCGGAGAGGACGUGAGAGGUUUGAGUUCCAUGCUGAAAUACAUGACCGCCGUGAGUUUGGAGGUUUCUUCGGAUCUCUCGGGUGUACACCCUACUAUUAAGCAAGAAGAAGGCGCAUGAUCCAGUGCUCUUUUGUUAAUCUUCAGAACUCUUGUAUUCUUUGUUUCGUUUCAUUUUCUGAAUAAAGAACUUUUACAA